rnacentral:rRNA from 1 species
CCUACGGGUGGCAGCAGUGAGGAAUAUUUGUCAAUGGACGAGAGUCUGAACCAGCCAAGUAGCGUGAAGGAUGACUGCCCUAUGGGUUGUAAACUUCUUUUAUAUGGGAAUAAAAUUUUCCACGUGUGUGCUUUUGUAUGUACCAUAUGAAUAAGGAUCGGCUAACUCCGUGCCAGCAGCCGCGGUAAUACGGAGGAUCCGAGCGUUAUCCGGAUUUAUUGGGUUUAAAGGGAGCGUAGGUGGAUUGUUAAGUCAGUUGUGAAAGUUUGCGGCUAAACCGUAAAAUUGCAGUUGAAACUGGCAGUCUUGAGUACAGUAGAGGUGGGCGGAAUUCGUGGUGUAGCGGUGAAAUGCUUAGAGAUCACGCAGAACUCCGAUUGCGAAGGCAGCUCACUGGACUGCAACUGACACUGAGGCUCGAAAGUGUGGGUAUCAAACAGGAUUAGAUACCCCUGUAGUC